rnacentral:misc_RNA from 1 species
CAACUGGCGGGGAGGUUGUCGUCAGGAGCGUUUCUAGCGCUAAUCUCUACGGCAACCGCCGAAACAGCCUCGGAAGUAAGUCUGAUCAGCAACGCUCAUCACUUCAUGUACCAUGACUGCAGGACAUGGCUACGGCACAAAUGCAUGGCUGGG